rnacentral:lncRNA from 10 species
UUUAUUUUUCACUGGUCCUUCCAAAUUAUUUGGCUGUCUGGCUGUCAGAUUACAUUUCAUGAAGUUGGUUAUUACACAGUAGUUGGAGUAAAAAAGUUGUUCCAAGAGAAUGUGAGGUAAGGCACAGUGGGUGUUUGAUAUACUGAUAUAACAUUUAUAACAUUCCUAUGAGUUAAGUGCUAUUACCCCAUUUUAAAGAUGAAGAAACUGGUCUGGGUAAUCCCAGCACUUUGGGAGGCCAAGGCGGGAGGAUCACCUGAGCCCAGGAGUUUGAGGCUGCAGUGAUCUGUGAUCAUGCCAUUCAUUGCACUCCAGCCUGGAUGAAAGAGACCCUAUCUCUAAAAGAAAACAAAACAAACAAACAAACAAAAAAACAAAACAAAAAAGAAGACGUAAAAGAAAAAAGAAAACAGAAAGCCUAGCAGUGUAGAAGAAAGCAGCACAGAACUGGAAGAAGAAGCAGAAUUGUGUCUAGAACCCUCCAGGCAUAUGAUGAAUAUGUUCAUGAAUCAAAAUCCAUGUUCUUCAACCUACGAACAUUGUUUUGAAUAACAGGAGUAUCCUAAUGAAGAAACAAGCAGGAAAUUAU